CCGGUCCUCGGCGACCGGAGUGCUCGCGAGGCUGCCGUCCUCGAUCGGGCCCUCCACGAAGGCGAGUUCCGCCGUCCCGGCCCGGACC
rnacentral:tRNA from 1 species